CUCUUUCUCAGUGACCGGGUGGUUUGCUUAGGCGCAGACGGGGAAGCGGAGCCAACAUGCCAGUGGCCCGGAGCUGGGUUUGUCGCAAAACUUAUGUGACCCCGCGGAGACCCUUCGAGAAAUCUCGUCUCGACCAAGAGCUGAAGCUGAUCGGCGAGUAUGGGCUCCGGAACAAACGUGAGGUCUGGAGGGUCAAAUUUACCCUGGCCAAGAUCCGCAAGGCCGCCCGGGAACUGCUGACGCUUGAUGAGAAGGACCCACGGCGUCUGUUCGAAGGCGGGAGCCUCUGAUUCCUGGCGGAGAGCCACAGUGAGCCCAGCAGAACCCAUCUGAGCGCCAGCAUCCAGCCCGGUCAGGAGGAUUUGCUGCCCCCUCCUGGUGGAAUGCGCGCCAUGUCGUCAAGCGGCCACCAGAUGACUCGCUCGCUGGUCCACUCAAAGGCAUCACAUCCAGAGCGCUCUGCUGGUCACAGAUUUUUCAGCUGGGACUUUCUGGAGCUGUUUUUCUAAGCUGACUUUCUUGUGUGUUUGGUUCCCCUUUGGUUGGUGCCCUGAUCCCACCCUCGGUGGGCCCACAGGUUCCCCCAGUCCCUGCUCACCCAAUGUCCUGUGUUUGCUCUGACGCCGACAUUGGAGGAGGAGGACGAGCGGCAGGACAAAGGCCACUGAGACCCCGGUUACAACCCCCAGGUAUCUUCCCAGACCUUGCGCGUGAUGACGUCGGGAAUGAGGAUGACAUCGCUGAUGUGAGCACCUACUGUGUGCAGGCGCGUGCUGGGUCUUCAUGAGCUCUAACCCUCACAGCAGUCGUGCAACGUGGGAUUGCCAACCCCCCAACCCAUUUCACAGAUGCACAAACUGAGGCUCAGAGGGGGGAAUCGCCUGCCCCAGGCCCCCCAGCCUGGAAGAAGCAGGUCUGGGAGGGGAACCUGGGACCUUGUGUUUUCCCCAGCUGUCCUCCUGCUGCCCCACCAGGUGGACACCUGCUUCCUGCUCUGGGUCUUCUCAUCUGACAGCAGGGGCCUGUCUUAGUGUCUCCAUCUGGGGCUGUGUCCUCCUUACAACCCUCCCUUCCCCAGCACAGCAGGGCCUGGGGGAGGGAGUGGGCUGUACAGGACGGACCCUGCAUUGCUCUCACCCCCAGCCCAGCCAGGUCCAUCUCCUACUCUGCCAAUCCCUGACCUUCCCAUGCAGAGCCUUUGACCACAGACUGAAGGGCUGCACUGUCGGCUUCUCGGCUUCUGAGGUUUUGGUACUCGGACUAGCUUCCUUGCUCCUCAGCUUACAGACAGUCUAUUGUGGGACCUCACCUUGUGAUCGUGUGGAUCAAUACUCCUUAAUAAACUCCCCUUUAUAUAUACAUCUAUCCUGUUAGUUCUGCCCCUCUAGAGAACCCUGACUAAUACAUGUUUCUGAAAUACGCAGCCAUAGAAGGAAAUGAGAAAUGAAACUUCCUGACACAGGCAGGAAACCUCAGGAAGCAGCGAGGUCAGAGCUGAGUUGGCUUCUGGUGACUUGCAAUGUCAGGGAAUCACUAAAAGGGAGGUUUCCGCCUCUAUAUGAGACAGAGGAGAACCCCAGGGCCCUCACAGUCAGGGAGGGGUUGGGGUUUUGGGUGAAAGUGGGAAGUUGUGGCUCCUCGUCCCCUGUGUUUGUGGAUGGCACUGGGGUAUCUCUGCUCAUUGACUCAGGUUUAUGGUCAGCCCUGAGCCUCCCCCUCUGUGUGUGUGAAAUAGAUUCAUUGUAGAGUUGUCAGACAUGAGGUUCACACUGGACCCUCCCCUGCUGGUUACAGGCCUGAGCAGACUCACAAGACCCGGGCAGGUGGUGCCGUCCUCCUCUUUUCAAGCCUAACGCCCAGUGCAGCCCUGGUAGAAACCCUCUCUGGCAGAUGAGGCACUGGGAGAUGAGUGUCCAAGAAUGAGAAGAAAGAGGAAUCAUCCUAAUGAUAAAAAGUGCUAUGACUGGCUGCCUGCGAUGGCUCACGCCUAUUUUCCCAGCGCUCUGGGAGGCCGAGGUGGGCAGAUCGCUGGAGCCCAGGAGUUCGAGACCAGCCUGGGCAACAUGGUGAAACCCCAUCUCUACUAAAAAGACAAAAAUGAACUGGGUGUGGUGGUGCACACCUGUAGUUCCAGCUACUUAGGAGCCUGAGGUCGAAGAUCGCUUGAGUCUGGCAGGCGGAGGUUGCAGUGAACUGGGGUGGUGCGCCACUGCACUUUAGCCUGGGUGACAGAGCAAGAACCUGUCUCAAAAACAAACACAGGCUGGGCGUGGUGGCUCACGCCUGUAAUCCCAGCACUUUGGGAGGCCGAGGCAGGCAGAUCAUGAGGUCAAGAGAUCGAGACCAUCCUGGCCACACGGUGAAACCCCAUCUCUACUAAAAAU
rnacentral:misc_RNA from 1 species